CACGUAGGGGACGAGCGUUGUCCGGAUUCAUUGGGCGUAAAGCGUGCGUAGGCGGUUCGUUAAGUUCGUUGUGAAAGCCCCGGGCUCAACCUGGGAAUGGCAAUGGAAACUGGCGGGCUGGAGUAUGGCAGAGGGGGGUGGAAUUCCGCGUGUAGCAGUGAAAUGCGUAGAGAUGCGGAGGAACACCGAUGGCGAAGGCAGCCCCCUGGGCCAAUACUGACGCUCAGGCACGAAAGCGUGGGGAGCAAACAGG
rnacentral:rRNA from 1 species